rnacentral:misc_RNA from 1 species
CAAAUAAAACCAGCAGAGCAGCCAUGAAUCCUUUUUCCUGCAAAAUCCAUGCCUUUAAAAUCUCCUUCUAACGCUUCAAUCCGUACUCUCAUCAAUUCUUGCAAAACUAUCGGCCACCUCUACCAGUUGCACGCUCUCAUAAUCCGCAAAGGACUCGAGCAAGAUCACUUUCUCGUUUCCUACCUUCUCAACCGCUCCAAUUCUGUUUCCUAUGCCUUAUCCAUUUUUGAUCGCCUUCUCACUCCCUCCACUCUCCCCUACAACAUCCUUCUCAAAAUCUACUCCCAC